rnacentral:rRNA from 1 species
UUCGCCCUUAGAGUUUGAUCCUGGCUCAGGACGAACGCUGGCGGCGUGCCUAACACAUGCAAGUCGAGCGGGGAUUUGGGAGCUUGCUUCUGAAUCCCAGCGGCGGACGGGUGAGUAACGCGUGAGCAAUCUGCCUCAAACAGGGGGAUAACGCAUCGAAAGAUGUGCUAAUACCGCGUAAGACCACAGCACCGCAUGGUGCAGGGGUCAAAGGAGCAAUCCGGUUUGAGAUGAGCUCGCGUCCGAUUAGCUAGUUGGUGAGAUAACAGCCCACCAAGGCGACGAUCGGUAGCCGACCUGAGAGGGUGAUCGGCCACAUUGGAACUGAGACACGGUCCAGACUCCUACGGGAGGCAGCAGUGGGGAAUAUUGGGCAAUGGGCGAAAGCCUGACCCAGCAACGCCGCGUGAGGGAAGAAGGGUUUCGGCUCGUAAACCUCUGUCCUAUGGGACGAAUAGAUGACGGUACCAUAGGAGGAAGCCCCGGCUAACUACGUGCCAGCAGCCGCGGUAAUACGUAGGGGGCGAGCGUUGUCCGGAAUGAUUGGGCGUAAAGGGCGCGUAGGCGGCCCGUUAAGUCUGGAGUGAAAGUCCCGCUUUCAAGGUGGGAAUUGCUUUGGAUACUGAUGGGCUCGAGUGCAGGAGAGGAAAGCGGAAUUACCGGUGUAGCGGUGAAAUGCGUAGAGAUCGGUAGGAACACCAGUGGCGAAGGCGGCUUUCUGGACUGAAACUGACGCUGAGGCGCGAAAGCGUGGGGGGCAAACAGGAUUAGAUACCCUGGUAGUCCACGCGGUAAACGAUGAAUGCUAGGUGUAGGGGCGAAAGCUUCUGUGCCGCAGUUAACACAAUAAGCAUUCCACCUGGGGAGUACGGCCGCAAGGUUGAAACUCAAAGGAAUUGACGGGAGCCCGCACAAGCAGUGGAGUAUGUGGUUUAAUUCGACGCAACGCGAAGAACCUUACCAGGGCUUGACGUCCUAGGAAUCCGGAGUAAAGACCGGAGUGCCCUUCGGGGAAUCUAGAGACAGGUGGUGCAUGGUUGCCGUCUGCUCGUGUCGUGAGAUGUUGGGUUAAGUCCCGCAACGAGCGCAACCCUUACGGUUAGUUGCUACGCAAGAGCACUCUAACAGGACUGCCGUUGACAAAACGGAGGAAGGUGGGGAUGACGUCAAAUCAUCAUGCCCCUUACGCUCUGGGCUACACACGUACUACAAUGGCGCAAACAACGGGGAGCGAAAUCGCGAGAUGGAGCAAAUCCCAAAAAGGCGUCCCAGUUCAGAUUGCAGGCUGCAACUCGCCUGCAUGAAGUUGGAAUUGCUAGUAAUCGCGAAUCAGAAUGUCGCGGUGAAUACGUUCCCGGGCUUUGCACACACCGCCCGUCA